rnacentral:lncRNA from 1 species
CCCAGACCCUUUUGCCCUUUCCACUCAAACUUUUUCCCGUUUCCCCUUUUCAAGCUCAUUAAAAUCUACCCAAAUAAACCUUAUGGUUUUCUCGAAAUCAUAUUAUGUAUCAUCAAUCUUUUGAUUUUGGUGCAAUAUAAUCUUGGAGAAGGCUAUGUAGGUAGAUACUGUAGAUUUUCUUUUGACAUGUAACUAUAAAUUUUAUGUUUUCCUUUAGCUUUAUGAUUUCUUUCAGUAUUUGAAUGGCUACAAUUCAACAGUUUUGAGUUAUCCCUCACGUUUUUCAAUUUCUUUCACCCCGUUAAUCUUGUAUUUGACUUUAUGGAACUUAAGAAGAUGUUCAUUACUUGUCAUGUACUGCCACUCUUUUUCUCAUCUCAUUUAAGCUUUCGGUGCUGAAUUCUGGUUUUAUACAACCGAUUAGUCUAAGAAAAUUUUUAUUAGAGAGUGUUUGAUGCCGACAAGACUUGACCUUUUUGUAACAUUAUGAUUUGUAAGAGAAAUUAUUUUUUGUAACAUUAAACUUGAAAGUAUGUUGAGUGAGUGAUAUACCAGUUUUAUAAGGCAAGGCCAGUUGUCUGACUCUGCAGCCUUAGAUGAUAAUCAUGAUGUUACAAUGGAUUCAACUGCAAUUUUCAUGCAUAUUCGUAGUCUUACUAGAUCAGAGGUAGACUUCAAGACCCCAACAGGUGUUAAUCUCUCAUUUGAAGAGAAAACUCUAAGAAUGAGAAUGUAGGAAGUUUCAUGAAAUUGACUUUAGUUAAGAAGCCGGUUUCUAUAUCCUCCAUUCCUGCCACAAAUGUUAGUGGAAGUCGUGAUUCAAAUGAUAUGAGUCUUCUUGAUGAAAACCCCAACUGGUAUAAAUAUGAGAAAGUUACCAGGAUUGUAUGCACUUUUGGCGGAGAGCAGAAAAAAAUUGCUUUCUGUUGGUGGCUCUGAUGAUAUUAAUGCCUCAAAGUCACCUGGAAGGAUGAAAAGUAGGCACUCUAUAUGAUAUCAUCAUAUGAUGGGAAUAGCCUUAUAAAUUUAAGUGAAUUUUGCAAAGCAAGAAACUGACACGAUCAUUUCUCAGGAUUUACUGUGUAAAGAAGUUUCUGAUGUACAUGGCAAAUUUCAGGAAGCAAAUGGUGGUAUAUUAUAAUGUCUUGUCAUGCCCUGCCCGUCCCUUACCGUCUUUUUCAAUUUGUAUUGCUUGCCAAACAUGCAAUUAGGGAGUGUUAACCUUAAGCUACUAUUAUUCUUUCUAAAAGAAGUUAGGCUGUUGGCAUUGGGAUGAGAGCUCGUGGGUAUUACUAAUACUAUAUAGGAUAAUGUUUUUCCACUUAGUGAACUAAACAUUGAAAUAGAUUGACAUCUCAAAAUUUGAGCAACUUUUUGACAUUGGAACUUUGCAUAUUGGUUUUUAAUGAUAUUUCUUUGAAUUUAAGCAUGGAGAUAUGGGAUAGAGUGAUAAUUCUAGGCUUUUUACUUGUCUAAGAGAAAUUUAAUAUCUGUCUCUGUUAAAUGAACAUUAAUGGAGUGUUGGCCACAUCUGCUUAAAAUUCAUAAUUUAUGGAAGAAGGUUUUACAUUAGCCAUACCGCCUAUGUGAGUAAAAAUUUCCCAGAAAUUAGUGUGUGUGACUACAUAUUAUUUUCUUUCUUGCAUCUCGCUUUUUCUGUGUUUACAUUUCUGUCAAUGUUAUGCAACUUAAGUAUGGAGAUGUCAGGUCUCCUUUAUACUUAUUAUCUGAUAUGUAAUGAGAAAUCCUGUUUUUAAACAUUUUUGAAAUGUGCACAGGGCCAUUAUUAUUUAGUGUGGACAAAAGCAAUAUGUUUUAUAGCUCUACGAAAAGUCAUAUGAUCACUCAACCUUUUAGGAUCUGAACCAUAUGUUAGAUCCAAGAUAACAGGAUAUUGAUUCAACCUUAAUCAUUUCAUACAAUGGAUCUUCGUACAACAAAUUCCUAUCUUGAAAUUGUGUUAGACUUAAAUACCAUAUUGCAUCCAUGUGCUCGCCUUGGCUUGCAAGGCUACGCAGUCAAUAUCUUGGACUGGUAUCAAUAGUAGUUAUGUAAACACAUGCUUCUGUUGUUCGAAUGAAUUUGUUGCUUGUUUUCCUUUGUAAUUAUGGAUCUUCACACCAUCAUCACAACGGAAAUUACUGAUUCUUUCCCUCACUCCUUCCUUAAUUAUUUCUCUUUAUGGUCAUAUUCUUGCUAUGACUACAUCUUCAUAAUCAAUUCACAUUGAACACAUUAAAAAACUCUCGAAAUUUUAUUUUAUUUUAUUUUAUUAUUAUUAUUUUUUUUUUUUAUGACUUGUUGAAUGAGAAGAGAAGAAUGUGUACACAAACCUCAAAUGUCAUCAAUUUUAAAAUUUUGGAGUUGCAAUCUUUAAAAGUAGAAUUAUUUAAUGUCUUCAUAAAUUUAAUAUUUUCCUUUUCUUGUUCAUUUGCUGCAAUUGUUAACCAAGUUCUCUUUCAAUUUCUCAGCAGAUUGCAGUAGUGUUGAAAUGUAUCGAAGAGGUUCGUGACUAUUUCAAUUUUGUCUCUUUUAAUCGAGGCUUGUAUUAAUUUUUUGUAAUUAUAGUUUGUGUGAAACUUUUAUUGUCAAAAUGACUUACCUAAUUGGAAUCUGAUUUCUAUGAUGUCCUAAUAUAAUUGAUUUUUACUGCGUUAUAAUAGUUUAUAUCUUAAUAAUGUUGGUAGAUUAUCAUGUAUAAAGAUUGGGUACACUUAUCAAUGUUAUCUUGUCCUUUUAAAUUUAGACUAUCUUAAAAUAUGUCCAUAAAUGUUUUUUAAAUGAUAUAUUUAGCAUUUUUUUUAUAAAGUUUCAGAGGCAUAUCAGUAUGGUGCAAGCCAAUGCAGGGAAUGUUGCAAAAACCUAUUCCACCAACAUCUUGAUAUAAUGUAUGGGCAUUUGAUCUACGUCUACUACCUGGUUGUUUCAUGGGGAAAAAUCGAAUGUAGUAUCAUUGCUUUCUCAAGAUGUAGAAAAUCUAGAUACAUGUAUGAUGUACAGACAUACAUUUUAUUAUGGUGACAAUAUUUUAGAACCUAAGAAUGAAGAUAGAGAGAGAGACUUUUUCAAAUUUAUAUGAGGGCAUUGAAAUUCCUUUAUAUCUUGGUUGCAUGAAGUAUAUAAAGGAUAUCUGCUAUUGUUGUCUUAUAUAAGCAUAAAGUUACAUAUGGUAUAUUUGACAAGGAUUUCAGUGAACUUCUUGAUAUUAUCCGAGAUAUGCUAUCACAUGGGAAUGCCCUUCUCGAUUCUUGCAGUUCAACAAAAAGGUUAUUGAACACCUUUGAUUUUGGGUAUGAGAACAUCCAUGCAUGUGUAACUAAUUGUUUGUUUAGAAUGGAUCUAGAGAAUUUGGAGACAUGAUUUAGAAGAAUGAUUAGGUCACUUGAUAAGGCAGAACAACUAAUAUGGCACUCAAAUCACAAAAGUCAAGAUGGAAAAAUGUGUCAUUUAGUUUAUUCAAUAGCUUGGGAGAGAAUUGAUCAAAAAAUGGCCUUGUUUUGCAUCAAACUCAUGAGAACUUAGGAUUCGCCUUCUCCCAAUGGAUUUUCGACCUUUGGUGACCUAGUUCUAGGUAUAAUUGUUGGCCAGUGAUAUUAGUUAUAUAUAAUCUCCCUCCUUGGAUAUGCACGUCUUGAGGAAAAUUUAUUAUUAACUUUAUUAAUUCUAGGUCCAAAGCAACAUGGAAAUGAUAUAGAUGUGCAUCCAGAAUCACUCAUAGAAGACUUAAAAUAGAUGUGGAGUAUUGGUGUUCAAGUAUAUGAUCCAUCUUCAAUUUGAAGGCUGUGCUCUAUGAUCCUCGGACUCGAGUACGGGUACGUAACUAAAUAUCGGAUCUUUUAUUUUCUAAAAUGUAGUUCAAGUACUGAUUACUUUUUUUUUUUUUUUUUUGGAGGAGGAGAAAUUAUUUAUCUAAACUAAACUAUCUCUAGGUUGAUAGUUUUCAUCUUCGGUUGUCCAAACAUUUCGAAUCCUACGAAGCUUAGACGAAGGGGCUUCAUCAUCCAAAUAUAUACAUGACUCAAUCUUAGAGUCUAGUUUUGGCUCUGGUCUUGGUACAUGCUCUGGCUCGUCCUCUGGCUCUAAAUUAGGUUCACAAUUUGGCUCCUGUUCUAGGUCUUCAUCAGGGUCUUCCUCGGGUUCGGACUCGAGAGUAGAAAUUCACCUAUCUAGAAAAGUUUCACAUUACAAAUCAAACUCGAUCCUUUUCUGGUGCUCUGGAGGGUUACCCUCUCGCAUUUUAUCCCUAACCGCAAUGCCUAUGUCUCCCCAUUGAGGGGACAAUGUAUGGAUAAAAUUGUCAACAACUUGAAGGGAUGUAAUCUCAUGUACUAAGCCCCUUGCCGCAGCCCAUCUAGCGAAGACUUCCUCCACAUGCUCAAUAAGUAUGUGAGUUGAGUUUGCCUCAUAAUUCUCGUAGGCUUGGAUAACUGCAGUCCUAUGGUUUAGAACAAUUCUACAAGUCGUUAUCUUUCUAGUGGUCUCUCUAAUUCUAGCCAUGACUGUCACAUACAAGCCAAGUCCAAUUAUGCUUCAUAUUUUAUUAGUGGUGAUAAUACAUUGCCCGUAAUGCCUGCAUGAUUCAUUACUAAGAUAAUAUAAAAUGUUAUACUUCUAUCAAAAGGUAAAAGUAUGUGAGAAAAUAAUUCAUAAAUGGAAGCAAAUAUAUUUAACGUCAUGCUACAAUUCAUACUAGUAUACAACAUUUCAUUUCAUUCCCACCAUUUCUCAAAUUAAAUAUAAGGAUGUAUAUCUCAUGCUCAAAAUUAAAAAUUUAAAUAAAACAUAUUAUGCAAUACCUUCGGUCCGUCAGAUGGUAGUUGAUUGGAGAAUGCUACGUGCCAAGAAACUUUCAAAGUCUUACAUAUUUAAGAAUUUUAAUAAAAACUUUACAUCCCAUCCUUAAAAUUAUAUCUUAAGGAAAUUAUUAAUAAUUAAUAAAUAACAUGUAAAGUUAAAGUUAGCUAUAUACACAUUUAAUGCACAUAACAAUUUAAAUUAAUCCAAUUCUCAUAUAAACUAUCAUAUAUAUAUAUAAACAUUCAUUUGAAAUAAUCAUCUGAAAUAAACAAUCAAUUUUGAUUUUAUUUUAUUUACCUUUCACGUGAACAUGCAUAAUCAUAUCUAUAAACAUUCAUUUGAAAUAAUCACAAUCAUAAUUUCUUUUAUUUACCUUUCACGUGAACAGUGGUACUAUUCACGGUGAAAAAUGUUGUUAUAAUUCAAUUUAAUAGUUAUUAAAAUAAUAAUUUCCUACUACUACAUAAUUUAGUAAAAUUAUAAAACAUGUAUAAUUAUGCUGUACAAAUUUACACCCAACCACAUGUAUGUAUACUUACACACACAUGCCUCAUAUGUACACAUCACACGCUACGCAUGCAUACAUACAUACAUACAAACUUCAUAUAUAC